CCAUGGGGCUUGAUUCUUGUUUUGCUUUCUCUUUAGCACCUCCGCUGGUUAUCCCUACUUUAGAUUCUGGACGCUCACCACCCUUUUAAUAAUAGUAAUAUUUGUUAUUGUUAUUGUGGUUGUUGUUGUUCUCUGGGAACCCCAUCCCCCCAUUCUGCCUCCCUCUUCCUUCAGCGUAGCCCCAACAUGAUUACAGUAGCAGGACGCCGUUAGGUAGGCAAACAGCAAAACCUGAUUUUCUCUCUCCUGGGCUAUUAUAAGCAGGGUUAGUUCCUCACGGUGUGGGUGUGGGUGAGCGUGUCGGGAAGCGUAAUCCCUUGCUAUAUAAACUAGCACACACGCUUCAGCGUGCCGAAUUAGCCCUACAAGACCAUUUUGUCCCCCAAACCAAUGUAUCUAUACAAUUUGUAUGACGUUUGGGAAAAAAUAAAAUAAAAAUAAAAAUACAAAAGCAAGCUAGUUCCAGAAAUGCAAAACCUCGU
rnacentral:sRNA from 1 species